rnacentral:rRNA from 1 species
UACGUAGGCAGCAAGCGUUGUUCGGAGUUACUGGGCGUAAAGGGUGUGUAGGCGGUUAUUUAAGUUUGGUGUGAAAUCUCCCGGCUCAACCGGGAGGGUGCGCCGAAUACUGAAUGACUUGGAGUGCGGGAGAGGAAAGUGGGAAUUCCUGGUGUAGCGGUGAAAUGCGUAGAUAUCAGGAGGAACACCGGUGGUGUAGACGGCUUUCUGGACCGUAACUGACGCUGAGACACGAAAGCGUGGGUAGCAAACAGG